rnacentral:rRNA from 1 species
GAUGAACGCUGGCGGCGUGCCUAAUACAUGCAAGUCGAGCGAACAGACGAGGAGCUUGCUCCUCUGACGUUAGCGGCGGACGGGUGAGUAACACGUGGAUAACCUACCUAUAAGACUGGGAUAACUUCGGGAAACCGGAGCUAAUACCGGAUAACAUGUUGAACCGCAUGGUUCAACAGUGAAAGACGGUCUUGCUGUCACUUAUAGAUGGAUCCGCGCCGCAUUAGCUAGUUGUUAAGGUAACGGCUUACCAAGGCAACGAUGCGUAGCCGACCUGAGAGGGUGAUCGGCCACACUGGAACUGAGACACGGUCCAGACUCCUACGGGAGGCAGCAGUAGGGAAUCUUCCGCAAUGGGCGAAAGCCUGACGGAGCAACGCCGCGUGAGUGAAGAAGGUCUUCGGAUCGUAAAACUCUGUUAUUAGGGAAGAACAAAUGUGUAAGUAACUAUGCACGUCUUGACGGUACCUAAUCAGAAAGCCACGGCUAACUACGUG